rnacentral:rRNA from 1 species
CGGCCGCGGUAUCUUGACCGUGCAAAAGUAGCGUAAUCACUUGUCUUUUAAAUAAAGGCCUGUAUGAAUGGCAAAACGAGGGCUUAACUGUCUCCUUCCCCCAGUCAAUGAAAUUGAUCCCCCCGUGCAGAAGCGGGGAUACCAACAUAAGACGAGAAGACCCUAUGGAGCUUUAGACACAUCGACAGAUCAUGUAAAACCCCCUUAAUCAAAAGAAAAAAUCACUGCCCCUGCCGCAAUGUCUUUGGUUGGGGCGACCCCGGAGAAAUAAAAAACCCCCGAGCGGAAUGAAGAUACCCCAGCUUCAUAAACAAGGCCACAGCUCCCAAAAUCAGAACCUCUGACCUUAAGAUCCGACACAGUCGAUCAACGGACCAAGUUACCCUAGGGAUAACAGCGCAAUCCCCUUUCAGAGCCCCUAUCGACAAGGGGGUUUACGACCUCG